UGUGCAUGCCAGCCUGAUUUCUGACUGCAGGAAGCUGUGUCUUGCAGCCUGUGGGCUUUUUCUGGCUGCUGUGGCCCACUACGCCUGCAGCAGGACUGGAGGCUUGCAGGACUGAUACCCAUUCCCCAGAGCAACCCUCAACCAAUGACCUUCAGGAUUGGGUGGAUAAAUAUCCCAGCUCUCUUACUCUUCAGCACCAUGAGAAGAGCUUCUCCCCUGUAAAUGGCCACUCUCACUUGUGGGUCCAUGACUAGCUGAACUGAACCCAUUCCACAGUAAGGACCCAAGCCCAGCAGAUCUGCAGCCAAAACCAAAGUUGCUCAGUGGGACCCAUGCCACAUAAGCCGACCCAUGGCCAACCUGAAAAUAAAUUUUCAGCCAAGACAUUCUUUUGCAGCCUAAGAGGGUUAUUAUGGAGAGGUGGAAAGAUCUUCAAACCUGGAAGGCUUGCUUCAAACCCCAGCUCUACUCCAACUACAGGAUUGGGGCAGAGGCUGGAAGAGCUAAAAUGUUCAUUUCUCAGCCUCUCCUUCUGCCAGCAAUAAGACACUGGGAGGUCUGUUGAUGUGGCAGAUGGCGGUGGCAUGCCCUGUGUCCCAUGCCCACAGUCUAAUCACCUCUGACUUCAGUCACAGCUGUGGUGGACAGUUCCGUGUGUUCCAAUUCACCUCAUGCAAGACAGCAUCCAGUCUCAAGUAUGUGCUGUGCAUCUUUCUGCUCUCUGCUCCAGGGCCUUCUCUGACACUAUGGAAGCCCACUGGGCCUGCAUAAAAACAAAACUUGGAAGUGUGAGAUUCAUGCCCUUGGGAUCGACCCUUAAUCGAUGGGGAACACGGCCUAGUGGAUAGAUGCUCCAGCCACCUGUCCUUUGGGGGCACACUUCUGGGAGGCAUUGUGUACAGUUAUCAGGAGGUCUGGGUGCAAUUGAGCCUCUAGGGCCCCAGGCAGUAACCUUUUUAAUAUGCCUUUAUAUUGUCAUUUUCGUCUUUACUCUCUCAUUCUCCUUGCUUCCUCUUGCGCAUACAGGGAUCAGUUACCAAAUAAACUAUGUGCACUCAAA
ensembl:lncRNA LINC01282 long intergenic non-protein coding RNA 1282